GACGAACGCUGGCGGCGUGCUUAACACAUGCAAGUCGAACGGUAAGGCCCUUCGGGGUACACGAGUGGCGAACGGGUGAGUAACACGUGGGUGAUCUGCCCUGCACUUCGGGAUAAGCCUGGGAAACUGGGUCUAAUACCGGAUAGGACUCCUGGCUUCAUGGUUGGGGGUGGAAAGCUUUUGCGGUGUGGGAUGGGCCCGCGGCCUAUCAGCUUGUUGGUGGGGUAAUGGCCUACCAAGGCGACGACGGGUAGCCGGCCUGAGAGGGUGACCGGUCACACUGGGACUGAGAUACGGCCCAGACUCCUACGGGAGGCAGCAGAGGGGAAUAUUGCACAAUGGGCGCAAGCCUGAUGCAGCGACGCCGCGUGAGGGAUGACGGCCUUUGGGUUGUAAACCUCUUUCAGCAUCGACGAAGCGAAAGUGACGGUAGGUGCAGAAGAAGGACCGGCCAACUACGUGCCAGCAGCCGCAGUAA
rnacentral:rRNA from 1 species